rnacentral:rRNA from 1 species
UACAGAGGUCUCAAGCGUUGUUCGGAUUCAUUGGGCGUAAAGGGUGUGUAGGUGGCGCGUUAAGUCGGGUGUGAAAUUUCGGAGCUUAACUCCGAAACUGCAUUCGAUACUGGCGUGCUUGAGGACUGUAGAGGAGACUGGAAUUUACGGUGUAGCAGUGAAAUGCGUAGAUAUCGUAAGGAAGACCAGUGGCGAAGGCGGGUCUCAUGGACGAGUUCCUGACAGCUGAGACACGAAGGCCCAGGGGGAGCA